rnacentral:rRNA from 1 species
GGGUCAGUAGGUUGGUCGUGCCACCGGUACGUACUGGUCUCACUGAUUCCUCCUUCCUGAAGAACCGUAAUGCCAUUAAUUUGGUGUUGCGGGGAAACAGGACCGUUACUUUGAAAAAAUUAGAGUGUUUAAAGCAAGCUAACGCUUGAAUACAUUAGCAUGGAAUAAUGAAAUAGGACGAUCGAUCCUAUUUUGUUGGUUUCUAGGAUUGACGUG